GGUUGCAAUCAUACUAGCGUUCAUGCAACGAAUCCCAUCAGAACUCCGUAGUUAAGCGUGCUUGGGCUAGAGUAGUACUGGGAUGGGUGACCUUCCGGGAAGUCCUAGUGUUGCACCCU
rnacentral:rRNA from 1 species